UAGAUUUUUAAGAUUUUUUAGAUUUUUAAAUUCCCCAAAUCAAUCCAUAAUUAAAUUAAAUGCAGAUUGGAAUAAUUAAUCCCUAAAAUCCACCCCUAAACACAACAACAAUAAACCCUCUGUUUUUUUUUUGCAGGAUAUUUGUCAUCUUUUGAUGCUGUGCCAAAAAAAAAACGGAAUUUUGGGAGAGGAAAAACCUCCGGAAGCGUCUUCCCGAAAAAUCCGUGCUCCAAAAAAAACCAGGGCAGGAAUUUCAGGUAUGGAAAAUUCCCAAACUUCCCACUCCGUUGGAUCCCGGGAUACUCAGGAAUUCCGAUGGAAGAGCUCUGUUGGUAAAACAUAAAUUUAACAAUUAUUAUUGGUAAAACAUAAAUUUAACAAUUAUUAUUGGUAAAACAUAAAUUUAACAAUUAUUA
rnacentral:lncRNA from 1 species